rnacentral:rRNA from 1 species
UGGGGAAUCUUGGACAAUGGGCGAAAGCCUGAUCCAGCCAUGCCGCGUGAGUGAAGAAGGCCCUAGGGUUGUAAAGCUCUUUCAGCGGGGAAGAUAAUGACGGUACCCGCAGAAGAAGCCCCGGCUAACUUCGUGCCAGCAGCCGCGGUAAUACGAAGGGGGCUAGCGUUGUUCGGAAUUACUGGGCGUAAAGCGCGCGGGCGGGACGGCGCGUCGGCGCUGAAAGCGCCCGGCUUAACCGGGCGCGGCGCGGCGAUACGACCGACCUGGAGGCAGGCAGAGGGUGGCGGAAUUCCGGGUGUAGUGGUGAAAUGCGUAGAGAUCCGGAGGAACGCCUGUGGCGCAAGCGGCCGCCUGGGCCUGACCUGACGCUGAGGCGCGAAAGCGUGGGGAGCGAACCGGAUUAGAUACCCCCGUAGUCC